GUUUUAAUAGUUUAAACAAAAUUCUGAUCUUGUAAAUCAGAGAUGACCUCUCUUAAAACU
rnacentral:tRNA from 1 species